rnacentral:rRNA from 1 species
AUGAGCGCACUCAAGGAGUCGAUUCGCAAGUAUGCCGAGGAACCUACAAAAAGUGUUGUACGCCCAACACCUGGUUUGACAUUCGAUUCGCUCGGUGAAGCAUAUGACUUCUACAAUUUGUAUUCCUGGAAAAUUGGUUUCGAGAUUAGAUAUGGUAAGAGUAGACUAAAUGCCGAGAGGACGAAGUGCAUGCAGGAGAUAGUAUGCGGUUGCUCGGGGGAGCUAGAGGCAGAGAAUAGUACAACAUACAGGACUAACCUAUACGAUAUGCCAUUUGGACUAUUCGUUGGGGUUAACAAUCAUUUUCAAAGCAUUAUCUUUGCUGGGCUAGUGAUGCAUGAUGAACAAGAAGAGAAUUUCAAAUGGGUUUUUGCUGAGUUCUUGCGUAUGAUGGGAGGACCUGCCCCAAAGACUGUCUUAACAGAUCAGAACAGAUCUAUGGAACUGGCAAUCAAGAAAGUUUAUCCAGGGAGUGUGCAUAGAUGGUGCAAAUGGCAUGUACUAAAAGUCAGUGGGAGGAGAAGUACCCACCAUUGGUUGGCCUGUACCAUGUGGAGCCGUCAGAUCAAGACACUGAGAAGUUCAAUACAAACAUGA